rnacentral:rRNA from 1 species
UACUAGCGGUCCAAGUCGCAGCCAUCAUUAUUGGGUCUAAAACAUCCGUAGCUUGCUUAAUAAGUUCCUUGUGAAAUCUUGUCUCUUAAGGGCAAGGCGUGCAAGGAGUACUGCUAAGCUAGAGAUUGGAAGACGUAGAAAGUAUGUCUAAAGUAACGGUAAAAUGUGUUAAUCUUAGGCAGACUCACAACAGCGAAGGCAUUCUACGAGGACAGUUCUGACAGUAAAGGAUGAAGGCUAGGGGC